GGAGGAGGCAAGCGUUAUCCGGAAUUAUUGGGCGUAAAGCGUCCGCAGGUGGCUUCUCAAGUCGGCGGUGAAAGGCUGGGGCUCAACCCCAGACCAGCCGUGGAAACUGAGGAGCUAGAGUGUGGUAGGGGUAGAGGGAAUUCCCAGUGUAGCGGUGAAAUGCGUAGAGAUUGGGAAGAACACCGGUGGCGAAAGCGCUCUACUGGACCACAACUGACACUCAGGGACGAAAGCUAGGGGAGCGAAAGGGAUUAGAUACCCCUGUAGUCCUAGCUGUAAACGAUGGAUACUAGGCGUGGCUGGUGGUCACUCCAGCCGUGCCGAAGCCAACGCGUUAAGUAUCCCGCCUGGGGAGUACGUGCGCAAGCAUG
rnacentral:rRNA from 1 species